rnacentral:rRNA from 1 species
AGUGAACGCUGGCGGUAGGCCUAACACAUGCAAGUCGAACGGCAGCACAGUAAGAGCUUGCUCUUACGGGUGGCGAGUGGCGGACGGGUGAGGAAUACAUCGGAAUCUACUUUUUCGUGGGGGAUAACGUAGGGAAACUUACGCUAAUACCGCAUACGACCUACGGGUGAAAGCAGGGGAUCUUCGGACCUUGCGCGAUUGAAUGAGCCGAUGUCGGAUUAGCUAGUUGGCGGGGUAAAGGCCCACCAAGGCGACGAUCCGUAGCUGGUCUGAGAGGAUGUUCAGCCACACUGGAACUGAGACACGGUCCAGACUCCUACGGGAGGCAGCAGUGGGGAAUAUUGGACAAUGGAGGCAAGCCUGAUCCAGCCAUACCGCGUGGGUGAAGAAGGCCUUCGGGUUGUAAAGCCCUUUUGUUGGGAAAGAAAAGCAGCAGGUUAAUACCCCGCUGUUCUGACGGUACCCAAAGAAUAAGCACCGGCUAACUUCGUG